rnacentral:tRNA from 1 species
GCCUAGUUAGCUUAGUUGGUAGUGCGUCUGCCUCGUAAGCGCUAGGCCGCGGGUUCGAUUCCCGCCCGGGGAA